AAAAAAGGAAGAGACCGACCAAGUCGCCUGGAUCAAACUGACCAGGACAACCCUUGGAAAUCAGAGUAGCUAUGUCUGUAGGCCUUCUAACUGGACAAUGAAUGAACGACGAAGUCGGGCAGAAACACCAA